UACGUAGGGGGCAAGCGUUAUCCGGAAUCACUGGGCGUAAAGGGUGCGUAGGCGGCCUUACAAGUCAGGGGUGAAAGGCUACGGCUUAACCGUAGUAAGCCUUUGAAACUUCUAGACUUGAGUGCAGGAGAGGAGAGUGGAAUUCCCGGUGUAGCGGUGACAUGCGUAGAUAUCGGGAGGAACACCAGUGGCGAAGGCGACUCUCUGGACUGUAACUGACGCUGAGGCACGAAAGCGUGGGGAGCGAACAGG
rnacentral:rRNA from 1 species